rnacentral:rRNA from 1 species
UUGAAAAAUUCAAAUACGGAGGAAAAGAAACCAACAGGGAUUGCCCUAGUAACGGCGAGUGAAGCGGCAACAGCUCAAAUUUGAAAGCUGGCCUUCGGGUCCGCAUUGUAAUUUGUAGAGGAUGCUUUGGGUGAAACGCCAGUCUAAGUUCCUUGGAACAGGACGUCAUAGAGGGUGAGAAUCCCGUAUGUGACUGGAAAUGUUAACCUAUGUAAAGCUCCUUCGACGAGUCGAGUUGUUUGGGAAUGCAGCUCUAAAUGGGAGGUAAAUUUCUUCUAAAGCUAAAUAUUGGCGAGAGACCGAUAGCGCACAAGUAGAGUGAUCGAAAGAUGAAAAGCACUUUGGAAAGAGAGUUAAAAAGCACGUGAAAUUGUUGAAAGGGAAGCGCUUGCAAUCAGACUUGUUUAAACUGUUCGGCCGGUCUUCUGACCGGUUUACUCAGUUUGGACAGGCCAGCAUCAGUUUCGGCGGCCGGAUAAAGGCUCUGGGAAUGUGGCCUUCACUUCGGUGAAGGUGUUAUAGCCCAGGGUGUAAUACGGCCAGCCGGGACUGAGGUCCGCGCUUCGGCUUGGAUGCUGGCGUAA